GUGAUGAGUCGCCCCACCGCGGCGCUGCAAAGCGACGAGGAAAGUCCGGGCAACACAGAGCACCCUGCUUCCUAACGGGAAGGACUGGUGCGCGUAAAGCAAUCCAGGACAGCUAGUACCACAGAAAACUACCGCCUACGUCGCCUUCGGGUGGCCGGUAAGGGUGAAAAGGUGCGGUAAGAGCGCACCAGCGGCUGGGCAACCACGCCGGCUGGGUAAACCUCAGGGGUUGAAAGACCAAAUAAGCUGGCAUGUAGCUCUUCGGAACUGCACCGGGCGGCUCGUUCGGCGCCAGCGGGUAGGUUGAUAGAGCCUUUCCGUGAGGACUGGCCUAGAUAAAUGGUGGGGCCGCGGCAACGCGGACAAAACCCGGCUUACAGACUCGUCACCCGU
rfam:Hymenobacter mucosus strain DSM 28041 genome assembly, contig: Ga0170424_101